GGAAACGACUGCUAAGACUGGAUAGGAGACAAGAAGGCAUCUUUUUGUUUUUAAAAGACCUAGCAAUAGGUAUGCUUAGGGAGGAGCUUGCGUCACAUUAGUUAGUUGGUGGGGUAAAGGCCUACCAAGACUAUGAUGUGUAGCCGGGCUGAGAGGUUGAACGGCCACAUUGGGACUGAGACACGGCCCAAACUCCUACGGGAGGCAGCAGUAGGGAAUUUUCGGCAAUGGAGGAAACUCUGACCGAGCAACGCCGCGUGAACGAUGAAGUAUUUCGGUACGUAAAGUUCUUUUAUUAGGGAAGAAUAAAUGAUGGAAAAAUCAUUCUGACGGUACCUAAUGAAUAAGCCCCGGCUAACUAUGUGCCAGCAGCCGCGGUAAUACAUAGGGGGCAAGCGUUAUCCGGAAUUAUUGGGCGUAAAGGGUGCGUAGGCGGUUAAAUAAGUUUAUGGUCUAAGUGCAAUGCUUAACAUUGUGAUGCUAUAAAAACUGUUUAGCUAGAGUAAGAUAGAGGCAAGUGGAAUUCCAUGUGUAGUGGUAAAAUGCGUAAAUAUAUGGAGGAACACCAGUAGCGAAGGCGGCUUGCUGGGUCUUUACUGACGCUGAGGCACGAAAGCGUGGGGAGCAAACAGGAUUAGAUACCCUGGUAGUCCACGCCGUAAACGAUGAGUACUAAAUGUUGGGUAAAACCAGUGUUGAAGUUAACACAUUAAGUACUCCGCCUGAGUAGUACGUACGCAAGUAUGAAACUUAAAGGAAUUGACGGGACUCCGCACAAGCGGUGGAUCAUGUUGUUUAAUUCGAAGGUACCCGAAAAACCUCACCAGGUCUUGACAUGCUUCUGCAAAGCUGUAGAAACACAGUGGAGGUUAUCAGUUGCACAGGUGGUGCAUGGUUGUCGUCAGCUCGUGUCGUGAGAUGUUGGGUUAAGUCCCGCAACGAGCGCAACCCUUAUUGUUAGUUGCCAGCACGUAAUGGUGGGGACUUUAGCAAGACUGCCAGUGAUAAAUUGGAGGAAGGUGGGGACGACGUCAAAUCAUCAUGCCCCUUAUGACCUGGGCUACAAACGUGAUACAAUGGCUGUUACAAAGGGUAGCUGAAACGUAAGUUUUUGGCGAAUCUCAAAAAAACAGUCUCAGUUCGGAUUGAAGUCUGCAACUCGACUUCAUGAAGUUGGAAUCGCUAGUAAUCGCGAAUCAGCAUGUCGCGGUGAAUACGUUCUCGGGGUUUGUACACACCGCCCGUCA
rnacentral:rRNA from 1 species